rnacentral:tRNA from 1 species
GCAGGGGUAGCCAAGCUUGGAAACGGCGCAGGAUUUAGGAUCCUGUUCUUAGCGAUACAAGGGUUCAAAUCCCUUCCCCUGCA